ensembl:lncRNA
GGGAAACAAGAGCACUGAAGAAAAUCAAAGGGAAAUGGGCAGAGUGUUUAUCGAAGAGGGAGGGAUGGGGGUGGUUUGGCUGGCAUGGACGGAGUCUGAAUAUUCAAACAAAAGAGACCCCCACCUCACACUCCUGCAAAUAUUGUCUUAUCCAUUAGUGGAAGCAUGGAAAGAAAAGGGUAGUCUGUCAUUGUGGGGCUCAUGAAGGAGAAGUCAGGGGAGGAAUUCUUUUCAAAACCUCUUCUGCAGUGCUCAGUGGACAGGGCCAUUUGUUUGGCCUUAUUCAGACGCCGUAGACCGUGGCAACAAAGAGCGCUUUCAGUGCACCUCACUGUAAAAGCAUGUGAAAGAGAAAAGCAGGGCAUAGGAAAGAGAAGAAAGGCGUAAAAAAGAAGAAAACAACUUGAACGAGACAGGAAGGAAUUGUUAAAUUUAGAUAUGUUUAUAUGGACCUUUGCUUGUGUGUUUGUUUUUCCUCAUGCGGAACAUGGAAAAGCGUUAGUGGUGAAACUAAUAGAGUUAAACGGAACUGAGUCUUGAAGGAGAACGUUACUCAACACUCGCCUUUAAAAACUGACACCGUGCUGGCUCGCCAUAAACUCAACCGUGGUCUGGGACACCUGAGAACACUGUCAGCAUAACUCCUAUCUGACAUGAGAUGCAGCAUGUAUGGUUGGAGAGAAUACAUAGUGUUUUUCAAACCACUGGGAAGGAUGGAGUAUGACCUGCAUGAAAUAUGGUGUGGAUGGCAUUAUUGUACUUGGAACCAGGCACUGUACUCUAAGAAAUUAUGUGAAAACAUACAUGCCAUUAUAUACACUGGACAAAAUUAUAAACCAAACACUUUUGUUUUUGCCCCCAUUUUUCAUGAGCUGAACUCAAGACUUUGUCUAUGUACACAAAGGCCUAUUUCUCUCAAAUAUUGUUCACAAAUCUGUCUAAAUCUUUGUUAGUGAGCACUUCUCCUUUGCCGAGAUAAUCCAUCCACCUCACAGGUGUGGCAUAUCAAGAUGCUGAUUAGACAGCAUGAUUAUUGCUCAAGCCACCCUGAGUCAGGUUAAUGUGUAUAACAGAAUCAGAAACUGAGUAAACCGCGUUAUGAAAGCAGCAGCUCUCCCAGAUUUUAUGACUGGCUUAAACCAAACUGUGUGCAUACCACUAUUAGAAAUAAAUAGACAUUAACUUAAUACA